rnacentral:rRNA from 1 species
UGCGGUAACGAUACGUGCAGGGAUACACCCGUUCCCAUUCCGCACACGGAAGUUAAGCCUGCACGGCCGAUGGUAGUCGAAAGGCGAGAGUAGGUGAUCGCCGCAC